rnacentral:rRNA from 1 species
UACGGGGGGAGCAAGCGUUGUUCGGAAUUACUGGGCGUAAAGGGCGCGUAGGCGGCUUGGCAAGUCGAGUGUGAAAUCCCUUGGCUUAACUAAGGAAUGGCGCUCGAAACUACCUCGCUAGAGGGCGGGAGAGGGAAGUGGAACUCUCGGUGUAGGGGUGAAAUCUGUAGAUAUCGAGAGGAACACCGGUGGCGAAGGCGGCUUCCUGGCCCGUAUCUGACGCUGAGGCGCGAAAGCGUGGGGAGCAAACAGG